rnacentral:lncRNA from 1 species
CCGGGAGCCAAGAUUUGUGCCUGAGGAAAUUUUGAUGCUAUGUGGUAGGAUAGUGAGAUUGCAUGAUCGAUGGUGUUCUUCUCUCUCUAUCCAUAGGUUUGUAGAAGUGAAAGGCAUCAUGAAACCCAUUGCUUCCUCGAGUUCAACAGAUACUUCGCACAUGUAGAACAACAUAUAGGUUGGUCUCUUAAAUUCUAUGAAUGAUCUUAUGCACAUUGGUAGUGUUCGUGCUAACCCAUGCAUGCACAACUUUUGCUGAUCCCAACUGGAGGAUAAUUAGUAGAGGGUUGAAAUAGUGAGUAGUCUUACCAGGCAAUCAGGCAGCCAACAUCCAGCCAAGAAGACGAAAAUCUCGGCUGGCAUAAGAAUAUGAACAAAAUUAGCAAGGCGAGAAAAGGAGCCAAGAAGAUACACACACCCAUGGUGAUGACCUAACAAAAACCUCACAUCAUGGCUAGUCAACAUGUACGUUCUGUAGAUUCACCAUAAUCCCAAUUACACUUUUUCCUUUUUCUUAAUUCACGUUUUGUUAUUGAGAGAAUCCAACAA